rnacentral:rRNA from 1 species
GACGUAGGGCGCGAGCGUUGUCCGGGUUUAUUGGGCGUAAAGAGCUCGUAGGCGGCUUGUUGCGUCGACUGUGAAAACCCGCGGCUUAACCGCGGGCCUGCAGUUGAUACGGGCAGGCUAGAGUUCGGUAGGGGAGACUGGAAUUCCUGGUGUAGCGGUGAAAUGCGCAGAUAUCAGGAGGAACACCGGUGGCGAAGGCGGGUCUCUGGGCCGAUACUGACGCUGAGGAGCGAAAGCGUGGGGAGCGAACAGG